rnacentral:rRNA from 1 species
CCGGCGAGGGGAGUGAAAAAGAACCUGAAACCGUGUACGUACAAGCAGUGGGAGCACCCUUUGGGGUGUGACUGCGUACCUUUUGUAUAAUGGGUCAGCGACUUAUAUUCUGUAGCAAGGUUAACCGAAUAGGGGAGCCGGAGGGAAACCGAGUCUUAAUUGGGCGUUAAGUUGCAGGGUAUAGACCCGAAACCCGGUGAUCUAGCCAUGGGCAGGUUGAAGGUUGGGUAACACUAACUGGAGGACCGAACCGACUAAUGUUGAAAAAUUAGCGGAUGACCUGUGGCU